GAUGAACGCUGGCGGCGUGCCUAAUACAUGCAAGUCGAGCGAACGGACGAGAAGCUUGCUUCUCUGAUGUUAGCGGCGGACGGGUGAGUAACACGUGGAUAACCUACCUAUAAGACUGGGAUAACUUCGGGAAACCGGAGCUAAUACCGGAUAAUAUUUUGAACCGCAUGGUUCAAAAGUGAAAGACGGUCUUGCUGUCACUUAUAGAUGGAUCCGCGCUGCAUUAGCUAGUUGGUAAGGUAACGGCUUACCAAGGCAACGAUGCAUAGCCGACCUGAGAGGGUGAGCGGCCACACUGGAAAUGAGACACGGUCCAGACUCCUACGGGAGGCAGCAGUAGGGAAUCUUCCGCAAUGGGCGAAAGCCUGACGGAGCAACGCCGCGUGAGUGAUGAAGGUCUUCGGAUCGUAAAACUCUGUUAUUAGGGAAGAACAUAUGUGUAAGUAACUGUGCACAUCUUGACGGUACCUAAUCAGAAAGCCACGGCUAACUACG
rnacentral:rRNA from 1 species